AGCGGAAACAACAAUCCAUUAGAAGAGUCACGUAGAGAAAGAAUUCUACUGUCUUCUAAGGUUUAAAAGUCCAUCAUCAAUAGUUUAUCCCUGUAAUAACAAUCAAUAUACAUCUUUAAUCAUCUUUGCACUACAGGCCAAAGAUAUUCAUUUGUAUCACCAGUUGGUCAUGUUCAUCUCAACACCUGUUCAUCUUUGCACUACAGGCCAAAGAUAUUCAUCAGUUAAUCGUUCAUCUUUGCACUACAGGCCAAAGAUAUUCAUUUAUAUCACCAUUUAGGACUGAGGAUGAUGAAAAACAUUUUUAAAGAAACGAAUCCAGUGAAACAAAAUGACAAGGAUUAAGGAUUAAGGAUUCGUACUUUGUUUUACCCAUGUCCAAAAAUACUUCGAAAAUAAUCAUAUUGGUGUAAAAUUCAAGAAUGAUCAAAACAUGGAUACAAUCAAAGCUAGUAUCCAGAAUAGAUAUUUUGGACAAAAAGAAAAAUUUUUAUUUUUCGGUGAAUAGUGCCGUAUUCGUGAAUAGUGUCGUAUACGUGAAUAGUGCCGUAUACGUGAAUAGUAACCCCGACACAACAAGUUCCAAAUUUGAUAAAAAAGUUCACCAAUACUUCGGCAUAAUGAUAUUGAAGAAAAAAUAUCAUUUAAGAAGAAAAUAAUACCCCUUACCUCAAAAUAACCGUACUUCUGACUGAAUUUCGGUAUAGUGCUGACAGAAAC
rnacentral:lncRNA from 1 species